CCCGCAUGACGCCGUCCCCCACCACAGACAGAACCGUCGAGACGACGGAGGAAGAAGCGCCGCCAGCGAACGCACACGUCAGAGCAGAGCGCGGUGACCAAUGGCGCGGACGGGGACCUCCCCCCAGGAUUCAUCUACAAGGUGAAAGCUGUGCAUGAAUACGUUGCCACUGACGGCGAUGAGCUGGAGCUGAAGGUGGGAGACUCUGUGCUGGUUCUGGCCUUUGAAAACCCGGACGAACAGGACGACGGCUGGCUCCUGGGUGUGCAGGAGACUCACUGGUUGCAGAACAAAGAUAUUUCAAUCAAAGGUGUUUUCCCUGAGAACUUUACUCAGAAGGUUUGAGGUUCAUGCACCAGAAGUACUUUGCCCCAAACUCUUCAGAAUUAUAGAUAGAACUGAGUUGAAACGUGUAUCAGUACAUGAUUCCAAAUAUGCGCUGAAAUACAAGGACAUCUAGACGGCUACGGUCUCUCAUGAAAACAUAGAUAACUUAUUAACCCAACUCCCUUUUGGUCAAUGAAGCGCAAUCCUCUAAAUUAAAUUAAUAAUAUUGUUUUAAUUUCCUUUCCUGAAUUAUUUAUAUGCUGAAAUCAAAACUCAUGUCAUGAAUGUAUUGAAUGAAUGUCAAAAUGUUUUAUGUAUCGUCAUCAGGUUUUUGGAAAAAAAUAUGUUAUGAGAACUUUUCACGGUUCCUUGCAUGAAGCAUUUGAUUUUAUUGUCAUUUAUUUUGUAACACUGUGACGACGGGUGGUUUUGCUGGAAGAAAUGUGGCUCAGAUUGAAAAAAAUUCAGAUGACCCAACUCAGAGCCCUGGGGAACGCCACAGGUCUAAACAACAUUAUCAAAAUCUAUUACAGUUUCUUGUAGGACUUUCAAAAGGGAACAUUAGUUUUUCAUUUAUUUUACCGGCCAUUUUGAAGACAUGACUUAAAGUGUGGCUUACAUUUUCUAACAACUUUUAUUUAGAUUUUUGAAUCAUCUUUACGUUGAUGGAUAAAACGGAUAACCCCACGCAAACUGUAUUUUUACAUUGUGUGGGAUUAACACAUAAGGAAUCAGUCGAAGUGGUUAAUGUCGCACCAUUUGUUGGAUCAAGUCAGUGUCAUUAAAGAUGAAUAAAACAA